AUGUUAGACUAAUAUUAUCCUGUGUUGUUCUGUAUGUUAUAUUCUCUUUUCAUACAUUAAGGAACUAUACUAUAUUUACCGAAGUAUACUAAAUCAUUUUAGUUUUAUACGGACAACACUACCUCUACUGUGAGGACAACACUAAAAAGAGAUUUUGACAGUUAGAGCGCGCGCUUUUCCAUGCACUUCCUUCGUGGACUGAUAAACUAUGUUUUCUUACGAUUGAUAUUAAAUUGUGUUUUAAAAGUGAAUACAAGAAGUUAUAGUGAUACGAAUUGACGUUUUAUUUCUGAUUAAGGCUAGGAGAUCAUACCCUAGCUUAUAUCAGAAGCGGGAAGAACAGAAAACGCCUAAUGACCAAUGGGGCGCGAAUGCUCCGAAUACAAUAAAAUUAAUGAUCACGCCACACUAUGCGAAACACUUAAACGAAGACGAGAUGACCACAGCACUGAUUGCUCAACCGCAAUAAUGUAUCAAGGACUUAUCUACUCAAGGAAAACAAAGCGACAUGGUCAACAACUUGUGGAGCCUAUAAUGACGACGACCAGACAAGAUUCUUGUGUGUAGAUUACUGCUUGACACACACUACGCCUGAUGGCGAUUAGACACCUUCUCCGCCGCGAUGCAACAGGUACCCGAGACAUUGGACAAUCAGGUAUAAGCAUUAAUAUUUUUUUUUCUCAUUCCAAUUAAUCCAUGGAAUAGAAAACAAUCAUUUAAUUGCCCAAACAUGUAUACAUGCAUACACACGCAGGUGCAUGCAUGUAGGAUAAUACAAUUAUUAAAGGUAUGUGCUUAAAACAUGUUUGCCACUUGUCAUGGCAUACAAAUAUAAAACCAGAAACAUUUAGCUCUAUAUACUAAAAACUAUCUGAGCUGACAUUUCAGAGCUUCGGUACUGAGUUUUCUCUAGGUUAUAGAUAUUUUGUUGUACAUAAUGGGUGCCAUUCAAAAUAUAAUUUAGCACAUAAGUGCAGUUUUACAUGGAUGUGAACAGAGUUUGCUAUUGAUCCAUUUGAUGCAUACAUUUUUAAGGUGAGUAAAUGUACAACAAUAUAUUUCAUUAGACAUCCAUAAACCAGCUGGGAACAUGACAGAUACUCUGAGGUAAACAUUUAUAUCCUGAGUAAUUAUGUAUGGUGUUAUUUUUGCUACACAUUGAAUACAUAAAAUAUUCAUGAGAAAAGAGUAAAUAAAGCAAGUAAAGCUAAUUGCAUAGUUCAUGGGGAUGAUGGCCAAACGAUUUGGUGUUAAUGCAUUAUUUACAUACAUUACUGAAAUAGACAAAGGAAGUACCUAUAAAAUAAGUAAAUAGGAUAUAACAAUAGGAUAUUCAUGAUAUAAAGCCAAUAUUACAAUAAUUAAAAUUGAAAUAAUCAUAAUCACUUACAAAUAGAGGUAGAAAAUAAAGUGGUUAAUUGACAACCAACAAAAACCGUGCGACACAGCUCUUGACUAUUCUAUGUACAUCCAAAGCGGUGAUAACAGGUAUUAAUAAUGGAUAAUCAAAUACUUUAAAGUACUAUAAACACUAAACUGGUUUUUAUUAAUAAAGUAACUAUGAAACUAAAUGCUUCAAGCCAGUAUGUUUCAGACAGUAAGUAUGUUUUACCAAUAUCUUGGUACUGCCAAUAGCAUACAUCAUUGUUAAGUAAAACUUCAUUCCAAGCAAAUAUCAUUGCUUGUUAUUAUUUUAAAGAGUAUCUAAAGUGAAAAUUAUAAAAAUGGUAAUCUUUUUAAAUGAUCUUUUCCAUAUUAUUAACUGUAAAUUGCCUCACCUAGAAAAAGUUAAACUGCUUAUUCUAUCUGAAUGUUGGAUGAUAUUACAGCUAACAGGUACAUUAUAGGACUGUAACACAUUAAGGAUAGUUUAAUCACAGUAAAGAUGCAGCAAUUGUAGUAAAUAUUAUUUACUUAAAGGAUUUUACAGACUGAAGCAUAAUAAAUAAAUAUAAAUCAGUAGUGUCAAUUAAUCAGAAGAAAAUAUAACUCAGUAGUGUCAGUAAUCUGAGUAGCCAGAUCAGAUAUGUUCUUUUUAAAAGAUUUCAUUUUAAUUUGGAAUCCACCACUUGAUGCUGAGACCAGUUUUCUCAACCAUUAAAAAUAACCCGAAGUGCUUAAAGAUAUGUAUACUAGAAUCAAAUAAAUACAAAAUAAAGAAAUUUCGGCUUUGAAAUCUGAAUCGAAAGCAGUCUAUAUAUUAUUAACUUAAUAAAUGAAUAUGGCAAUUGGGUCAAUAAGAGAUAGGUUUGAGUUGGAACAAAACAACAUUAGUUAUACAUAAAAUUGUCUGAUACUACACAGGAGCUAUACCAUCAGAAUACAUUAUACCAUACUGAAAAAGAAGUAUGUGAGACAGUUAAAGAAUAAAAGACUAGGCAAUUAAUAAGUAAUUUGUCCUAGCCCAUUAAAAAGUUGAAUGCAUACCAGGGCACUCAGUAAAACAUAUAGAUUAUUAUAAAUAAACUGAACCUGAACUUUUAUGGAUGGUAACGAUACGAGUUAACAUUUCUCUCUAUACUCUCUUUAUGACAGGAAAUCUUGUAAUUUCCUGGGAGGUAAGACAUUUUAUUCUGAGACUAAAUUUCAGCACAUAUUGUAUGUUAGACCUUCUCUCACAGAAAAUUACAUGUACAGUUUAUGAUGAUUUUCUUGAUUGAUGUUGUGAGUCUAUUCUGACCACUUAUAAAAUAGGAACCAAGAUUGUGGAGGAUCAGAGGAGUGAAUUCAGUGGGGUGUCAACAACAUCUUUAACAAGUCAGUAAGUACAACCACAAGUGUUUUACAGUCAACAACUAAGAAAGAGCAUUGCUUAGUAUUUAUUAGUUUUGAACCAUUAAUUGAAAAAAAAACUGACUGAUAAAGAACAAUUUAUAUGGUGAUUGGAACUUAUAUUUAAAGAUGAUGACAUCUGGUUAUGUUUAUAUUCAUAUAUAUUUAUUUGCAUUCCAUAAUGUUACAAUAGAUGUUGAAGAGGCUUAAAACUAAGUAGGUACCAUUAUAGGCUCUGUUAGGGCACAGCUAAAGAAGGCAAUACUUUAAGGCACCAUAAAUAAAGAACCAUGAGUUAAACUAGGCUCAGGGGUACUUUGUUGUCACUUUGUUUGUAUUAAAAUUGUUUCUACGGCACCACCUUCAAUUCUGCUUUCGUAUCCCUCAUCAGGGAUAUAGUUCCGAAGGAGCAGAAAGCUUUUCCACUCACGCUUUACAACUUGUAGAGUUAUAAUUUGAUUAAAUGGUAUUAACUAAAAAGAAAAGCUUAAAUUGAGAAGUGUAGUGAUUUUAAUGAAUUGUUAAUUAAUAAAACAAUACCAGACGAAGAAAAUUGAAUGAAUAAAUUAAAGAUUUGUACAAUUUUACCUUGAUUAUCUGUUAUUAAUUCUUACGAGCCUCUGUAUUGAGAUGUGAAAUGAAUUGAAAGAUUCAUACUAAUUCAGUUUGGUUGUAUUGUUGAAUUAUUGAAAUAAGACUACAUAAAUAAACUUUGAUAAGUUCAUAGGUUGGAAGGUAUGCACUAUGUACUGUUUUAGCUGGUUCUAUUGUUUGUUGCUGAAAACAAACGACUCGAGGAAGAAAAUGGAUAUUAUGUAUUUAUAUAUUUUAACCACUACAAUAAGGGAUUAACAGAAACAAUUGUAAUGUUGUAACAAUUGUAACUUGUAGUGGUCUGAUUGAGUUUGAUUGUGUUGUUAAAUAAUAAUAAUAGAAGACAUGUAUUGAUUUAGUUCAACCAUAGGCAUUGCUCUAAUACAAAUAAGAGAUGGACAGAGAAAAAUGUAAUUACUUGUACAUUUCUCAUUUUAUUAUGUUGUUAAUUAUUAAAAACUAGCGACUGGAAUGCUAAUAAAGAAUUGAGUAUUGAAUAGACAAGAUAUAUUGUACUAGUUGUGAGAUAACGAAUAUAAAUAAGAGAUGGGCAGAGAAACUGACUAAAGAAUUUGUAUUAGCUACUUUGAUCAUAUUGAUGAUUAAUGGAUACUAAACGAGAUAAAAUAUGUAUACAUAUAUAUUGUAGUCAGAGAUAGAAGAUGUAAUAAAUUGAGAGAUUUGUAUAUUGUCCAGUUUGAGGAUAUUGACAAUUACGAGUCAUUUAUGAUUCUGAAUUUAAUACACGGAAGGAAUUGUGUAAGGACGGUUUUGUGUAAGGAGCCGCUUGUGAUAAUAUUAUUAAUCAAUAUUUAUAGAGAUCUUCAUUGACACAUAUCUACUUAAAAAGCUGUGUAUAUUUCUCAUAGCUCUCAAUUCUUCGAAACUAAGUCCUUAAAAAAAUAAAUUGUAUAUAUUGUGCCAAUAAAGUGUAAUUGUGAAGUAUAUAAAAUAAGACAGGAUAUUAAGCAAUUGUAUAUUGUAUUGAAGAUCAAUACAAGUGUAGUGACGCAGUUUAUGAAUCUAAGGCUGGAUAUUAAGAAAUUGUAUAUUGUAUUGUUAAUGUACAGUAGUCCAGGUACUGGAUAGAAAGAAGUUGUUUACUGUAAUGAGAAUUAUAUAAGCAGAAGCAAUGUGUAAAUACUGAUUUGCACUUUGAAUUAUGAUAGUGAUAAAUUUUAAUGUGUUAAUAAGGAACAUAAGUUCAGAGACUUUGUAUAAUAGAAGUUUUCUAUUGAAAUGAGAAAUGAUAUAAGUAUUUUGAUGCUAAUAUGGUGAUGUUGACUUGUACUGCUUGAAUUUGAAUGAGGUACACAAAUCCAGAGACUGGAUACAUAGGAUUCUUUAUUUAAUGAUUGAUGAUAUAAGUAUGUUGUCGUCGAUAUGUUCAUAUUGACUUGUAAUAUUGAAAUUUGAAUGUAUUGAUAAAGUAUGUGUAAGAUAGGAACCGAGACUGGAUAUAAGGAAUUGUUUAUUUGAUGGGGAACUAUAUAAAUGAAUUCAUGUCAAUAUGUUGAUUUUGACUUGUAUUGCUUGAAUUUGAAUGUAUUGGUAAGGUAACUACACAAGUCCGGAGACUGGAUAUAGAGAAUUGUUUAUUUAAUGGGGAAUGAUAAAAGUAUAUUGAUGUCAAAAUGUUGAUGUUGACUUGUAAUCGUUGAAUUUGAAUGUAUUUAUAAAGAAAUAAAUCCAGAGACUGGAUAUAAAACAUGUCGAUUAUUGAAAUAGGAAAUGACAUAAGUAUAUAGAUGGCAAUAUGUUGAUGUUGACUUGAAAUGGUUGAAUUUGAAUGUAUUUAUAAAGAAUAUAGAUCCAGAGACUGGAUAUAAAUAAAGUUGAUUAUUGAAAUAGGAUAUGAUAUAAGUAUAUAGAUGCCAAUAUGUUGAUGUUUACUUGUAAUGGUUGAAUUUGAAUGUAUUUAUAAAGAAAUAAAUCCAAAGACUGGAUAUAAAACAAGUCGAUUAUUUAAAUAGGAAAAUAUAUAAGUAUAUAGAUGCCAAUAUGUUGAUGUUGACUUGUCAUGGUUAAAUUUGAAUGUAUUGAUAAGGUACAUAAGUCGAGAGACUUGAUAGAAGGAUCUUGAUGUCAAUUUGUUAACAUGACUAGAAGGCGUAGAUAGCUCCAAAUAGGAGUGAAUUCCUCGUUGCAGUCACAGUGAUAGUAAGAUUAACUUACUCUGUUAAACUUGAAUGUUUUGAUAAAGUAUACAAGUCCAAAUACUAGACGUGAAGUUGUUUACCGUAGUAAGAAUUUGUACAAGUAUAUGGUUGCCAAUUUGUUAAAAUGGCAAUGUACACAAGUCACAGUUUGGAUUCAAAAUGAAAUGAAAUGAAAAUAUUCGCAGAAAUUGUUUAUCGUAGUGAGAGUUUAUGCAAUUAUAUUGUUGACGAUUUGUUAGCAUGGCUGGAAGGCGUGGAUGGCUCCAGUUGGAGUGAAGGCCACGAUGCAGUCCUAGUUAAAGAUACGACUCUGGAAGGUUGGCACGAUCGUGAAGCCUUGUUGGUGGACAUCCUCUUGGCUUUGCGGUGAGGGGUCAAAUGCAGAUGUCGUGAGUUGAGAUUGGCUGGAAGGCGUGGAUGGCUCCAGUUGGAGUGAAGGCCACGAUGCAGUCCGUCCUAGUUAAAGAUACGACUCUGGAAGGUUGGCACGAUCGUGAAGCCUUGUUGGUGGACAUCCUCUUGGCUUUGCGGUGAGGGGUCAAAUGCAGAUGUCGUGAGUUGAGAUUGGCUGGAAGGCGUGGAUGGCUCCAGUUGGAGUGAAGGCCACGAUGCAGUCCUAGUUAAAGAUACGACUCUGGAAGGUUGGCACGAUCGUGAAGCCUUGUUGGUGGACAUCCUCUUGGCUUUGCGGUGAGGGUCAAAUGCAGAUGUCGUGAGUUGAGAUUGGCUGGAAGGCGUGGAUGGCUCCAGUUGGAGUGAAGGCCACGAUGCAGUCCGUCCUAGUUAAAGAUACGACUCUGGAAGGUUGGCACGAUCGUGAAGCCUUGUUGGUGGACAUCCUCUUGGCUUUGCGGUGAGGGGUCAAAUGCAGAUGUCGUGAGUUGAGAUUGGCUGGAAGGCGUGGAUGGCUCCAGUUGGAGUGAAGGCCACGAUGCAGUCCGUCCUAGUUAAAGAUACGACUCUGGAAGGUUGGCACGAUCGUGAAGCCUUGUUGGUGGACAUCCUCUUGGCUUUGCGGUGAGGGUCAAAUGCAGAUGUCGUGAGUUGAGAUUGGCUGGAAGGCGUGGAUGGCUCCAGUUGGAGUGAAGGUCACGAUGCAGUCCGUCCUAGUUAAAGAUACGACUCUGGAAGGUUGGCACGAUCGUGAAGCCUUGUUGGUGGACAUCCUCUUGGCUUUGCGGUGAGGGGUCAAAUGCAGAUGUCGUGAGUUGAGAUUGGCUGGAAGGCGUGGAUGGCUCCAGUUGGAGUGAAGGCCACGAUGCAGUCCGUCCUAGUUAAAGAUACGACUCUGGAAGGUUGGCACGAUCGUGAAGCCUUGUUGGUGGACAUCCUCUUGGCUUUGCGGUGAGGGGUCAAAUGCAGAUGUCGUGAGUUGAGAUUGGCUGGAAGGCGUGGAUGGCUCCAGUUGGAGUGAAGGCCACGAUGCAGUCCGUCCUAGUUAAAGAUACGACUCUGGAAGGUUGGCACGAUCGUGAAGCCUUGUUGGUGGACAUCCUCUUGGCUUUGCGGUGAGGGGUCAAAUGCAGAUGUCGUGAGUUGAGAUUGGCUGGAAGGCGUGGAUGGCUCCAGUUGGAGUGAAGGCCACGAUGCAGUCCGUCCUAGUUAAAGAUACGACUCUGGAAGGUUGGCACGAUCGUGAAGCCUUGUUGGUGGACAUCCUCUUGGCUUUGCGGUGAGGGGUCAAAUGCAGAUGUCGUGAGUUUAGAUUGGCUGGAAGGCGUGGAUGGCUCCAGUAAGAGUGAAGGCCUCGAGGCAGUCCUAGGAACGCAGCUCUGUAAAGGUGGCACAGUCAUGAAUUCUUGCUGGCGAAUAACCUCUUGACUUUGACCUUUAACUUUGUACCAAAAUAUAAACCAAUUUGUAAAUGUGAACACCAUGUAGCAUUUUAAUUGUCACUUUACUCUCAUUUGUCUUUGCGAUUCUACAUGAUCUUCGCAUGCUUUUACUGUAUGUAUCAAUACAUACAAAUUGUAAUACUAUAUUAUUUUUAAAAAGAGUAACCAUGGAGUUUCUUGCCCGUUCUUCUCCAUAGGAAGCUACUUUUGGAAUGGGCAACUAGAAUCAAACUUAGUUAUAAUUUUGACGUCCAUAAGUGCUUGUAAAGGCCUAAAUGAAAUAAAUUAUUUGACUUUGACUUUGAGAAGUUUGAGGACAAACUUAGUGGUCAGAAUGGCCGAAUGUUAGACUAAUAUUAUCCUGUGUUGUUCUGUAUGUUAUAUUCUCUUUUCAUACAUUAAGGAACUAUACUAUAUUUACCGAAGUAUACUAAAUCAUUUUAGUUUUAUACGGACAACACUACCUCUACUGUGAGGACAACACUAAAAAGAGAUUUUGACAGUUAGAGCGCGCGCUUUUCCAUGCACUUCCUUCGUGGACUGAUAAACUAUGUUUUCUUACGAUUGAUAUUAAAUUGUGUUUUAAAAGUGAAUACAAGAAGUUAUAGUGAUA